rnacentral:lncRNA from 1 species
CCAUCUUAUCCAGAUAUUUCUUUGUUGAAAGAUUCGAAAUCCUUAGGAAAAGAUAUAAAGUUACAACUUUUGACCGACAAAUGGAAAGAUGUCCACACCUUCAAAUUUCCGACAAGGUAUAUUAACUCCAUUUCAAUUAAAAAAAUAUAUAAUGCGCGUCGUUGAACUAACAGGGCUGCAGGGGUUGUAAACCCACGUUUUUGUUUAGAUAAGGGUUGUAAAUUUCGUACAUUAUUUUGACAAAAAAAUGACCAAUUGACUUUUGUUCCAUUUUUAUCUCUUAACUUUGGAUCCGACACUGAACAAUUUAAUGAAUUACAGUAAACAUUUUCAAUGAGUUUGACUGUCCCUUUGGUAUCUUUCGCCCCUCUUUUAUAUGUAAAUUACGAUAACGGUAAAUACAAAUCUGAAUUCCCUCUUUAAAUUAUUGUUUUGAAAGGCUACUUCAUAUUGUUCUGUUUUGACACCUUCCUGUCGAAAUAUUAAGGCGUCAAUGCAUUAAAAAUAAAAUAAAAUAGCCUUUCAAGACUUCAUCAAGUUCUGCAGUACUAGUCCGUAACUGAAAUGUUGCGUUCCGAGCAAAAUGAUGAUAAUGUUUGGAACGAGCUAUACCAAACCACUCUAGAUAUAGCAGAGCUUUUUGGUAUAGAUGAAAAUGUUCCUAGGUGGUGUGGAAGACAAACCUCGAGUGCUAACCAUCCAGCCGAAACCCCUAAGGAUUACUGGCGAAUUUCUCUCUACUAAAAAUGUAUCCGUUUCUGGGUCAUAUGAUCACGGAACUUGAUUCUCGACUUCUGAAUUCAGAAAAUCGUUUUCAUGCACAAUAUCUUCUUCCGUGGUCGAACAAAUAACUAAUGACCAAUUGACC